UACGUAGGGGUGCAAGCGUUGUCCGGAAUUAUUGGGCGUAAAGAGCUCGUAGGCGGUUUGUUGCGUCGGCUGUGAAAUCCCGAGGCUCAACCUCGGGUCUGCAGUCGAUACGAGCAAACUAGAGUGUUGCAGGGGAGACUGGAAUUCCUGGUGUAGCGGUGAAAUGCGCAGAUAUCAGGAGGAACACCAAUUGCGAAGGCAGCUCGCUGGGACGUAACUGACGCUGAGACGCGAAAGCGUGGGGAGCAAACAGG
rnacentral:rRNA from 1 species